rnacentral:SRP_RNA from 1 species
GCCGGGCGUGGUGGCGUGCACCUGUAGUCCCAGCUACUUGGGAGGCUGAGGCAGGAGAAUCGCUUGAACCUGGGAGACGGGGGCUGCAGUGAGCCAAGAUCGCACCACUGCACUCCAGCCUGGGCUACAAAGCAAGACUCUGUCUCAA